rnacentral:rRNA from 1 species
CAAUAGCGUAUAUUAAAGUUGUUGCAGUUAAAAAGCUCGUAGUUGGAUUUCUGGUCGGAAGCUCCUGUCCUCUGAUGAGCGUACAAGUGCGUCCUACCAUCCUUCUGUUAACCUUUAAGGCUUUCGCGGCUUUCUAGGGGCUCAGAUAUUUUACCUUGAGAAAAUUAGAGUGUUUCAGGCAGGCUAGCGCCGGAAUACAUUAGCAUGGAAUAAUGGAAUAUGACUUUUGCCUCUUCUGUUGGUCAUGAGGCUCGAGUAAUGAUUAAUAGGGAUAGUUGGGGGCAUUAGUACUUAACUGUCAGAGGUGAAAUUCUCGGAUUUGUUAAAGACUAACUUAUGCGAAAGCAUUUGCCAAGGAUGUUUUCAUUAA